UUAAAUUCCCCCUCCGUAA
rnacentral:rRNA from 1 species